rnacentral:rRNA from 1 species
GACGAACGCUGGCGGCGUGCCUAAUACAUGCAAGUAGAACGCACAGUUUAUACCGUAGCUUGCUACACCAUAGACUGUGAGUUGCGAACGGGUGAGUAACGCGUAGGUAACCUGCCUGGUAGCGGGGGAUAACUAUUGGAAACGAUAGCUAAUACCGCAUAAUAUUAAUUAUUGCAUGAUAAUUAAUUGAAAGGUGCAAUUGCACCACUACCAGAUGGACCUGCGUUGUAUUAGCUAGUAGGUGAGGUAACGGCUCACCUAGUCGACGAUACAUAGCCGACGGGGGAGGGGGGUCGGCCGCCCGGGAGGGUGGACACGGACCAGAGGCCUGCGGGAGGCAGCAGUAUGGAACCGGAGGCAAUGGACGAAAGUCUGACCGAGCAACGCCGAGUGUGUGAAGAAGGUUCUCGGAUCGGAAAGAUCGGUUGUAAGUGAAGAACGGGUGUGAGAGGGGAAAGUUCACACUGUGACGGUAUCUUACCAGAAAGGGACGGCUAACUACGUG